UACGGAGGGUGCAAGCGUUAUCCGGAUUCACUGGGUUUAAAGGGUGCGUAGGUGGACAGGUAAGUCAGUGGUGAAAUCCCCGAGCUUAACUCGGGAACUGCCGUUGAUACUAUCUGUCUUGAAUAUCGCGGAGGUAAGCGGAAUAUGUCAUGUAGCGGUGAAAUGCUUAGAUAUGACAUAGAACACCAAUUGCGAAGGCAGCUUACUACACAGUUAUUGACACUGAGGCACGAAAGCGUGGGGAUCAAACAGG
rnacentral:rRNA from 1 species